rnacentral:lncRNA from 1 species
CCAAGCCACAUCUGCGCCCUACACCACAGUUCAUGUCUCGGAUCUGGCAUUGCUGUGGCUGUGGCGUAGGCAGGCAGCAAUAGCUCCGAUUAGACCCCUAGCCUGGGAACCUCCAUAUGUGGUGGGUGUGGCCCUAAAAAAAAAGACAAAAAAAAAAAAAAAAAAAAAAAAAAAGGAAAAAGAAAUACAGCCCAGUUGUUUCCUCUCUUGUUGGUCAUGAUAGAGGAAAGUCGACCCUUGAACAUCAUGGGUUUGAACUGUGUGGAUUCACUUAUAGAAUGUUUUUAUUUUUUCCAAUAAAUAUUUACUAUAGAAAAUAAAAAUUAAAAAAUACAUACAUACUACAGUACUAUGGUCCAUGGUUGGUUGAAUCUGCAUACGUGAAACUUUGGAUAAGGAGGACUGACUGUGAAGCUGUACACACAGAUGUUCCACUUGCUUGGCACCCCUAGUCUUGGCUGUGUUCAAGGGCCCAUUGUAUUUGUGAUACCUGAAGUCAAAGGUCCUCAACUGCAUGCUCUUAGCAUCCCUUUCCCUACUCCCAGCAGAUUAAGCAUGUUCAUCUUUAGUACAGUUCUAAUCUUGCACAAUAUACACGACUCCAUCACAUUUGUUUCUUCUCUUCUCCCACUAGUCAUUUCCAAAGCAUCUUUCGAAGUCUAAAAAGAACAGCUACUUCCUUUGGAAAUACCUAUUAAAGACAAAGAAAAUACAUUAAGUAUCUUAUCGAGAUCUCACAAUAAGCAAGACACCUAGAUAACAUCCAUCAACAUAGCAUCACUUCUCUUCAGUUUCCACAGUACCAGGAACAAAUUUGCUUGAUGAUUCAGCAGAUCAGUACUGACUGCUGAGAUCACUAACCUAAGGAUCCAUGACUCUCCUCCUGGAUUGUAGUCCUAUUAAUGUGGAAUCUCUAAACUGAGUGUAAUCCUCAUUUUGGACUACCAAUAUACUUACUGCCCCACACCUGUUGCCACUGAUUAUCAAUUUAGUGGAUUAUAACCCACUAAGGAGAAAGAAAUCGUAGUCAGCAAAGGAUGAAGUCAAAGAACAAGCAUUACUUCACUAGCAUGUGUGGUUAAUCUCUGUGUUUGUCAGGGUCUAAAUAGGAAAACAGGAACCCUUGUAAGUAUAUAAACAGAUUUUAAUACAGAAAACUAGAUACAUGGGUGAUGUAAGGACCUAUAGGGUCAUUAACCCAGAAAUAAGCCACAGCAGGAAGAAUUGUCACUCCUGGGCUAGAGGAUGUGGUUUAGCCUAGAGACCAGGGACACAGAGUAGAAGUCAGAAUCAAUGGCUUCUCUAGCAGAAGCUGGAGCCAUGAAAGAAACACUGCUAUUAGCAGAGAUGUUGCCCUGGGCAGAGACAAUGGCUUGUAAAAUAAAUACAUCAAGGACAAACAAAAUGUCUGAACCCUGAACUGUGGAAAUAUGUUGGGAGAGGCUUGGGUGAGAGGGUAGCAGAAAGUAGAUCAGAGAGAUGGUUUUCUAUUUGCAUUCAUAUGCUCUUUGUUCAAGCUAUUGUUGAUUGAAUUACAUAAUUAAAACAACGAGUACAACUGGCAUAAUCACGUUUAAGAAUAAACUCAACUGAUGUUAAUAAGGACAGAGUUAAAUGGGUGAGAACAAAAAGAAGUGAGCAUAUUAGUGAGUAGCCUAUUCCUUGUCAGCGUUCAGCAUGGCUGCUGCCUCAGCCAGUAGACGUUAUAGAGCAAUGGAGAGCACCACAGAAUUAAGAGGGUCAGUUAAAUAAGGGUCCGGUGAAAAAGCUUCUACACUAUUUGAUUUGUUCUUGAAAGUUCCAUGAGGCAGGAACAUGUCUGCUGCAUUGACUCUUUCAUAUAAAGCCAAGAUUUGGCAUAGUCAGUACAUGAAACAUAGCAGGUAUUCAACAAGAAUUUUUGAAAUAAAUGAAUACAAAGACGAACAAGUUUGUAAACAGUCUGUUGGCUAUUGGUCACAUAUCCUGCACAUCUGCUUCACUGAUACUGCCUGGAACAUUUGUGCUAACCUCCUUGCUCUUUGCCUUGCAAAUAAUUUCUACAACACUCUAAUUGUGUUGGAGAUUAUGUUGUUCAAAAAGCUCUAAUCCACAAAUUAAGUGUGCUUGAGAGCAUGAUUAAAUUCCAAAAAGCAAAAUUGCUGAGGAAAAUCCAUUAUUAUUAUUUAAAGAGCUGAGCCACUUUCCAAAAUAUCCAUAACACAAAUUGCUCUUCUAAAGGGCAAAAAUGAAAAUUGCUCCUGGUUUACAGAGAAUGUAAGCUAAAUUUCAAAAAUUCAGCAAAGCUUAAGGGGGCAAAGGUAAUAUAUUCUCUGUAUAACUGAGCAUGUUUAAACUUAUUUCAAAUAUUAAAUGAUUUAAAAUGUAAAAAAAAAUCAUGCAUGGAGAUUUACUAAAUUUAUUUUUAAUAAUAAAAAUUAAUUAAAAACUGUAAUUUAUAAAAUUUUACCGGAGUCUACAUUAUAGGUAAUUUUUUUUAAUGGCCACACCCAUGGCAUAUAGAAGUUUCUGGGCCGGGGAUUGAAUCUGAGGCACAGCUAAGACCUAUGCCACUGCAGUCAUAUUCUUAACCCACUGUGCCACAGAGGAAAUUCCUAUAGGUAAUGAUUUUAAUUAUAUCUAGUGAGAACAAAAAAAAGCAGGCACACCUUAUCAAACACAAAUAGUAGGGCAUAGUUCACCUUUCCACUUAUUCUCUCUGUUUUGUAGUUGUUUAUAUUGUCAUCACUAUUUUUUUAAAUUACAAAGGUAACAUACUUUCAGAAUAAAAAUAGUCUUAGGGAGAAAAGUACAAAAAAGGUUAAGGAUCUUUGUGCAAACACCUGAAUAACCUGUAUUUGAUCCCUGUACAUAAGAACAUGUAUCAUAUAUAGUUAUAAAGAGAAGUAUAUAUAUUAAUUUUACAAAUAUGGGAUCACAGUAUAUCAAUUUGAACUUUGCUUUUAAAUUUUUACUUAAGAUUAUAUUAUAGAUAAUCUUCCAGUUAAGUAUGUAUAGAUAUAUUUAACUUUUUAGAUCUAUUUCAUUUUAAUUAGUAUUGUUUAAUUUAGUGAAACUAUGAAAUCAUAAGUAUCUAAUGUUGAGACAUGAUUUUUAGACAAAAAGUGCUUUUGCUACAUUAUCUUUUAGAAAUUUAAAAUAAUAAUCCUUC